ACACGGUCCAGGUGGCUGGCUAUGUGGGACAAAUCGCAAAAACAUCCAUCCGUACAGAGCUUAUACAUUACAUCUAUGUUUGCUCAAUACACGUGCGCCAUCUUUCCUCAUAAAUAAUCAUACAUUUCCUUACCCUUUUAUCAAGAUGUACACCAAGGAUUGUUUGGAUUUUUCCUUCCUGUCUGUUCAAGUCUAUUCCAAGGUUGCAUUUGUUCCUUCAAACUGUACUUACUGGAAUUCUUUUUACCAUCCCUAGAUCUUUGUUAUAAAUCUGCAAAACCAGAAGAUCUAAGGCAGGCACACGUACUAUGUCUGCUCAUCAAUUGGACUUUAAUAGAGAACAUAUAUCACUUUUAAUCUUCCCACCAUUUAUGUUACAAUAGUUUCCCCCCCAAGUGAUGCCAGCAGGCCACGUCCAGGGACCCAGAGGGGGUCCCCCAGGACCAGAGAUCCUGAUCAGCCUGACUUCUGACAGGACGUCACACCCAUGUGUCAUUGCUACUACCGGGAUGACAUUGGCUGACUGGACCUAAGGAGCAUGAAGUAGCAGGUCCAUUAGACCAUUAUGCUUCUGCAGGAGGCUGCUGGUCCCAGACCCAAGUACCCAGGGGCAGCCGAGGGCAGAGAGAGGCUCCCUAAAAUGGCGGUGGGGGCAGGAAGCCGGACAAACCCACAGACCGCAGGGGCAUGCAGUGGGGCAGGACCAGGUAAGAGGGUAAUGAAAGCCAACUGUAUGGGAAUCCUGGCAUGGGAAGCCACGAGGGAUGGUGGUGGCCGGGCCUGAGAAGCGGCCCUGUGCAAUGCCCCUGCAUCCCAGAGGAGACACGGACCCACCACCUUCCGGAGAGGGCCC